UACGGGGGGGGCAAGCGUUGUUCGGAAUUACUGGGCGUAAAGGGCUCGUAGGCGGCCAACUAAGUCAGACGUGAAAUCCCUCGGCUUAACCGGGGAACUGCGUCUGAUACUGGAUGGCUCGAGUUUGGGAGAGGGAUGCGGAAUUCCAGGUGUAGCGGUGAAAUGCGUAGAUAUCUGGAGGAACACCGGUGGCGAAGGCGGCAUCCUGGACCAACACUGACGCUGAUGAGCGAAAGCCAGGGGGGCAAACGGG
rnacentral:rRNA from 1 species